rnacentral:lncRNA from 1 species
AAAGGAAAGAAGGCCAAGGCAGAGAAGGUGGUUCUAGUCCCUUAUCAUAAAGAAGCAGAAGGCCAACAAGGUGGUGAAUCCCCUGUUUGAGAAAAGGUCUAAGAAUUUUGGCAUUGGACAGCACAUCCAUCUCAAAAGGAACCUCACUUGUUUUGUCAAAGGGCCCCACUGCAUCUGGCUGCAUCAGCAAAAAGCUAUCCUCUAUGAAUGGCUGAAAGUGCCUCCUGCAAUUAACCAGUUCAUCUAGGCUUUGGACUGCCAAACAGCUACUCAAAUGCUGAAACUGACCCACAAGUACAGAGCAGAGACAAAGCAAGAGAAGAAGAAAGCUGCUGGCAAAGAAGAUGUUCCCACUAAGAUAACACCUGUCCUUUGAGCAAGGGUUAACACUGUCACCACCUUGGUAGAAAACAAGAAGGCUCAGAUGGUAGUGACUGCACGUGAUGUGGGUUCCAUCAAGCUGAUUGCUGAGGGCUCGCCCUGUAUCCUAAGAUGGGAGUUCCUUACUGCACUAUCAAGAGAAGGCAAGCCUAAAAGACAUCCAGUCCCCAGGAAUACUUGUGCCACUGUGGCCUUCACACAUGUUAACUCAGAAGACAAAGGAGUUCUGGCUGAGCUGGUGGAAGCUAUCAGUACUAACUACAAGGUUAGAUAUAAUGAGAUCUGUCAGCACUGAGGAGGCAACAUCCUGGGUCCAAAAUCUGUGGCUUGCAUUGCCAAGCUAGAAAAGGCAAAGACUAAAGAACUUGCCACUAACCUG